rnacentral:rRNA from 1 species
AUUGAACGCUGGCGGCAGGCCUAACACAUGCAAGUCGAGCGGUAGAGAGGUGCUUGCAUCUCUUGAGAGCGGCGGACGGGUGAGUAAUGCCUAGGAAUCUGCCUGGUGUGGGGGAUAACGUUCGGAAACGGACGCUAAUACCGCAUACGUCCUACGGGAGAAAGCGGGGGAUCUUCGGACCUCGCGCCAUUAGAUGAGCCUAGGUCGGAUUAGCUAGUUGGUGAGGUAAUGGCUCACCAAGGCGACGAUCCGUAACUGGUCUGAGAGGAUGAUCAGUCACACUGGAACUGAGACACGGUCCAGACUCCUACGGGAGGCAGCAGUGGGGAAUAUUGGACAAUGGGCGAAAGACCUGAUCCAGCCAUGCCGCGUGUGUGAAGAAGGUCUUCGGAUUGUAAGACACUUUAAGUUGGGUAGGAAGGGUAGUAACCUAAUACGUUGCUACUUUG